rnacentral:rRNA from 1 species
AUACGUAGGGGGCGAGCGUUGUCCGGAAUGAUUGGGCGUAAAGGGCGCGUAGGCGGCCCGGUAAGUCUGGAGUGAAAGUCCUGUUUUUAAGAUGGGAAUUGCUUUGGAUACUGUCGGGCUUGAGUGCAGGAGAGGUAAGUGGAAUUCCCAGUGUAGCGGUGAAAUGCGUAGAGAUUGGGAGGAACACCAGUGGCGAAGGCGACUUACUGGACUGUAACUGACGCUGAGGCGCGAAAGUGUGGGGAGCAAACAGGAUUAGAUACCCUGGUAGUCCACACUGUAAACGAUGAAUGCUAGGUGUAGGGGGUAGCGACCCCUUCUGUGCCGCAGUCAACACAAUAAGCAUUCCGCCUGGGGAGUACGGCCGCAAGGUUGAAACUCAAAUGAAUUGACGGGG